rnacentral:rRNA from 1 species
GACGAAGCGUGCAAACGUUGUUCGGAAUCACUGGGCUUAAAGGGCGCGUAGGCGGUCGAUCACGUCCGGGGUGAAAUCUUUCGGCUUAACCGGAAAAGGGCCUUGGAUACGGAUCGGCUGGAGGGAGGUAGGGGCAGGUGGAACUUCCAGUGGAGCGGUGAAAUGCGUUGAUAUUGGAAGGAACGCCGGUGGCGAAAGCGACCUGCUGGACCGCUUCUGACGCUGAGGCGCGAAGGUCAGGGGAGCAAACGGG